UCGAUGGUUUUUUUCCUCCAUCGAUAGUUCACUGCAUGGCUAGACACAAAACCACGCUACACAGAUUUCUAAAAUAGGUGUAACUUUGUUGGCGGUUCCUCAAAAAUUAUGGAUAAGUUUGUGAUUUCAUCAAAUAAAAGUGCAUCAUCAGCUGCCUCAACAUCUUCAGCUGCCUCAUCGAUAUUAGCUGCCUCACCAUCAACAUCUGCCUCGUCGUCCGCUGUGGUUCCGCAUCCAGACGAGUUGCCUUGCAAGCGAAAAAAAUGCAGCUCUCAGGUAUGGGACUACUUUGAAAAAUGUAAAAGUAGAAAUUUCGCAAAAUGCAAAUUAU